rnacentral:rRNA from 1 species
AUGAACGCUGGCGGCGUGCCUAAUACAUGCAAGUCGAGCGAACAGAUGAGGAGCUUGCUCCUCUGACGUUCGCGGCGGACGGGUGAGUAACACGUGGAUAACCUACCUAUAAGACUGGGAUAACUUCGGGAAACCGGAGCUAAUACCGGAUAAUAUAUUGAACCGCAUGGUUCAAUAGUGAAAGACGGUUUUGCUGUCACUUAUAGAUGGAUCCGCGCCGCAUUAGCUAGUUGGUAAGGUAACGGCUUACCAAGGCAACGAUGCGUAGCCGACCUGAGAGGGUGAUCGGCCACACUGGAACUGAGACACGGUCCAGACUCCUACGGGAGGCAGCAGUAGGGAAUCUUCCGCAAUGGGCGAAAGCUUGACGGAGCAACGCCGCGUGAGUGAUGAAGGUCUUCGGAUCGUAAAACUCUGUUAUUAGGGAAGAACAAAUGUGUAAGUAACUAUGCACGUCUUGACGGUACCUAAUCAGAAAGCCACGGCUAACUACGUG